CUCCCAGAUGCUCAGCAGGGCCAAGGGCAGUGUUGCAGCAAAGGUAUGGAACAGAUGGAGCUGGGCUUUGCUUCCUUGGCACAAAAGAAGAGCCUUGUAAUGCCUUGCUCUGAUGUGCUGCCCCAAGGCUUUGGUGGCACUAUUGCAACGCUGCCUCUGAGCCCUGGCACCUUUGUGCUCCCUGCUGAAGGAUGGGCUGUGCCUGGUGCUGGCAGCACAGUGGGACAGCGCUGUCACCUCCCUGGGCUCCCUGCUGGACAGUGCCUGCUGGCAGAACCAGUCAGUCCUGGACACUGCAGAGCAUCUCCUUUACCCCCAAAAUGAGAACCAGGC